rnacentral:rRNA from 1 species
CAGCCGCCGCGGUAAUACAGAGGUCUCAAGCGUUGUUCGGAUUCAUUGGGCGUAAAGGGAGCGUAGGCGGUCGGGUAAGUUGGAUGUGAAAUCCUGGGGCUCAACCUCAGAACUGCAUUCAAUACUGCUUGGCUAGAGUAUUGGAGAGGUGAGUGGAAUUCACGGUGUAGCAGUGAAAUGCGUAGAUAUCGUGAGGAAGACCAGCGGCGAAGGCGGCUCACUGGACAAUUACUGACGCUGAUGCUCGAAGGCUAGGGGAGCAAACGGGAUUAGAUACCCCAGUAGUCCCUGUCUCUUAUAC